GUGUCAGCCGCCGCGGUAAUACGUAGGGUGCGAGCGCUGUCCGGAAUUAUUGGGCGUAAAGAGCUCGUAGGCGGUUUGUCGCGUCUAUCGUGAAAACUGGAGGCUCAACCUUCAGCUUGCGGUGGAUACGGGCAGACUUGAGUUCGGUAGGGGAGACUGGAAUUCCUGGUGUAGCGGUGAAAUGCGCAGAUAUCAGGAAGAACACCCGUGGCGAAGGCGGCUCUCUGGGGCGGUACUGACGCUGAGACGCGAAAGCGUGGGGAGCGAACAGGAUUAGAUACCCUGGUAGUCC
rnacentral:rRNA from 1 species